AACGAACGCUGGCGGCGUGCCUAACACAUGCAAGUCGAACGGAGAUAAGAAGCUUGCUUCUUAUUUUAGUGGCGCACGGGUGAGUAAAGCGUGGAUAAUCUACCUGAUGCUCUGGGCUAACAUCUCGAAAGGGGUGCUAAUACCGGAUAAGCCCACGAUCUCUUUGGAGAAUGCGGGAAAAGGAGGGGACCUUCGGGCCUUCCGACGUCAGAUGAGUCCGCGUCCCAUUAUCUAGUUGGCGGGGUAAUGGCCCACCAAGGCUACGAUGGGUAGCUGGUCUGAGAGGAUGAUCAGCCACACUGGAACUGAGGCACGGUCCAGACUCCUACGGGAGGCAGCAGUGGGGAAUUUUGCGCAAUGGGGGAAACCCUGACGCAGCAACGCCGCGUGAGUGAUGAAGGCUUUCGGGUCGUAAAGCUCUGUCAGAAGGGAAGAAAUGUAGGUGGCUAAUAUCCAUUCUACUUGACGGUACCUUCAAAGGAAGCACCGGCUAACUCCGUGCCAGCAGCCGCCGUAAAAC
rnacentral:rRNA from 1 species